AGGAGAGGAAAAUUACCAGGUAGAGCGAGAGGAGAAACUUUCAAAAGUGGAUGAAAAUAUCAGUCAUACAAGUGAACAGCUGGAGAACUAUAGAAAGCAAGACAAAGAUCUUGAAGAAGAAUUGGAGAGAACCAUUCAUUCUUAUCAAGGGCAGAUUAUGUACUAUGAGAAAAAAGCACAUGAUAAUGAGCUGGCAGCUCAGAGUGCUAAAAGAUACCUCAAGAUUUAAGGAAACAAAAUGCUCACAACAGACAAAAAUUAACUAAAAAUGAGGUUAAAUUUAAACUUUUUAGAAAAAGAUCCUUAUGCACUUGGCGAUUCAAAUAGAGCCUUUGCCAGAGAGGAUUCC
rnacentral:lncRNA from 1 species